rnacentral:rRNA from 1 species
GACGAACGCUGGCGGCGUGCUUAACACAUGCAAGUCGAACGGUGAAGCGCCUUCCUUUUUGGUGGGUGUGGAUGAGUGGCGAACGGGUGAGUAACACGUGAGUAACCUGCCCCCUUCUUCUGGAUAACCGCAUGAAAGUGUGGCUAAUACGGGAUAUUCUGGGUCUGUCGCAUGAUGGGUCUGGGAAAGAUAUUGUUUCGGUGGGGGAUGGGCUCGCGGCCUAUCAGCUUGUUGGUGGGGUGAUGGCCUACCAAGGCGGUGACGGGUAGCCGGCCUGAGAGGGUGGACGGUCACACUGGGACUGAGACACGGCCCAGACUCCGACGGGAGGCAGCAGUGGGGAAUAUGGCACAAUGGGCGCAAGCCUGAUGCAGCGACGCCGCGUGAGGGAUGGAGGCCUUCGGGUUGUGAACCUCUUUCGCCAGUGAAGCAGGCCUGCCUCGUUUGUGGGUGGGUUGACGGUAGCUGGAUAAGAAGCGCCGGCUAACUACGU